AUGGGCCUUAGAUGUCAGAAAGAAGAGGGGGAGGAGCCGACGGGGCGAAUGGUCCAUGCUACCAAGAGGCCGAAGGUCAACCUGGUGCAAACUAAGAGCAUCAGUACUCUCAAGGAUGAAAUAGUUGUACCCAGAGGUACUCUCGUGACUUGCAUUGCAGGUAUAAAUCUGCAGCCUGAAGAUGUUGGCGCUGCUAUUCAAUUUCUGGAGUUCUGCCGCUCAUUUGGCGAGAUCUGCAAAAUAGGGAAGGGGCUACCAGAAGAAAUUCUCAAAGACUUAACUCAACUCGAAGAGGUGUCUUCAGUUGUUGCAGACGUUCACAUAAAUCUUCUGUCUAUCAUAGAAAAUGGCAAAUAUAAGUAA
rnacentral:rRNA from 1 species